rnacentral:rRNA from 1 species
CCUACGGGCGUCAGCAGUGAGGAAUAUUUGUCAAUGGUCGGGAGACUGAACCAGCCAAGCCGCGUGAGGGAUGAAGGUACAGAGUAUCGUAAAUCCCUUUUGCCAGGGAACAAAGGCGGGGACGUGUCCCCUGAUGAGUGUACCUGAAGAAAAAGCAUCGGCUAACCCCGUGCCAGCAGCCGCGGUAAUACGGAGGAUGCGAGCGUUAUCCGGAUCUUGUGGGUGAAAAGGGUGCGCGGGGGGUCUGUAAUGUCAGCGCUAAACGCCCGGGGCUCAACCCCGGCCCGCCGUUGAAACUGGCAGUCUCGAGUUGGAGAGAGGUAUGCGGAAGGCGCGGUGUAGCGGUGAAAUGCAUAGAGAUCGCGCAGAACUCCGAUUGCGAAGGCAGCAUGCCGGCACCACACUGACGCUGAGGCACGAAAGCGUGGGUAUCGAACAGGAUUAGAUACCCCAGUAGUC